GGCUUCAUGGUCGAGUGGUAAGGACACUUGCCUCUCACCCUGGAGUCCCAGGUUUGAUCCCCAGGUGGGGAGCUA